rnacentral:tRNA from 1 species
UUAAUUUCGACUUAAAUCUUGAUUAUUAAAAUUAAUCCAUAUUAA